rnacentral:lncRNA from 1 species
AGCCCUCAAAGAACAACAGCAAAACACAUGAACCCUGUUGCAAUGCCCUGACAAUUAUUAUUUCUAGAAGCACCAGUAACCUUAUGGGAAAAAGCUUCAUCGGGCUCUUCUUGCCUCACUCUUAGUAUUUAACAGCAACUGAUUUUUUUUUUAAUUUUUUUUAAAUCAAAGGCUAAAGUCGUGGCCUGGGUCAUCCCCUACCUGGUUAUCCAUGUUAUACCCAGCUAAGGCCAGAAGCGCUGGCAUGGCUGGUUCCCUUGGAGCUGGGGUGCUGGAGUUGCCUGGUUCUCAUCCCUGGAACACGGUGUGUGAUGGGGCUGCCUUGGUUUCAAGGAGGUCCGGGUGCCUGGAAGUCUGGAGGUAUUUCCUGACUAUGAUCGAUUUGGCUCUUCACCUCCCCAUGCAGGAGUGGGCACAGCACCAACAUCCAAACAUCUGCAUUUCACCCACUGCUGUCUCCAUAACGUGGGAAGGCAUGAAGAUAAAAGCCUCUAAUGCAAAAAACAUCUAUGUGGGAAAACUCUCCCGGACAGAGAGAUCCCAGUCCUGGAGAUGCAUCAUGCUCACAUUUAAUUCUGAGAGCUGGGACUUUCCAUACUGGGUCUUCA